AUAACAGUUUUUAAAUUUUAAAAACUGUUAUUUUUUUAAAUUCUAGGUGUAGUUUAAUGUAGGUGUGCGAUUUAACAUUAGGUAUGUGGCAUAAAAUUUUUAAAUAGUUAAAAUAUUAUACUGUUUUAUAAAUAUUAUAAAGAUUUUGUUUUUAGCUCAGUUAUAUCUUCUACAUUAGCAAUAAAUUUAAGAAAAAAAAUUAUUCAAUAGUUUUAAAUAAAUUUUCUAUAAAUAGAUUAACAGUUUCUCUAUGCCAUUAUACACUAUGGCUGUUGUAGAUCAAACUGGAAUGGGGCGACCUGUAGUGCAAUCAUUAGUUUACCGUGAAGACCAGUCACAUCUACAGUUGCUAAUUAGACAUGCCAGUCAAUGAACUAAUAUUGAAACUUUUUAAGAUUAUGUUUAUGGUCGGUAAAGAUUAAGCAGGACUCCAGUCAGUUUAUUGGGACUCCAGUCAGUUUCCCCAAGAAAGAAAAUAUUUCUUUGUCACUUAGCUAAAGCUUUUAUUUAUCAAAUUAAAAAGGGUAGACUGGCAACUAAUGAUCAGGAAUUGUUGUUCAAAGUUUGCAAUUAGAAAAUUGUGCUUAAUAUUAUUGUUUACCUUUCUCUAUAUUUAAAACAUUUCUAAACUAAAUUACUAAUAAUAAGUCACUUUAAUGUAUAUAUAUUUUAUUAGGCUACUCAGAAAUUAAUUUGUGGUAAUCAGGCAGGAUGCAAUAUUAUUUUUUACCUUUCACUAUAUUUAAAACAUUUCUAAACUAAAUUACUAAUAAUAAGUCACUUUAAUGUAUAUAUAUUUUAUUUGGCUACUCAGAAAUUAAUUUGUGGUAAUCAGGCAGGAUGCAAUGAAACUUUGUUAUACAUCAAAGAAAAUUUCCCAACAUUCUGUAUAUCUUCAAGAAAACUGGCUGACUAUACCAGAAAUGUUCAUUGGUCAUCAUAGAAAAGGUCUGAUGUAUUUUGAAAAUCAUAUCAAUAACAGACUUGAUAGGUAUCAGAUAUUAGAACUCUUAAAGAUGUUGGUCUUUUGUCAUCCAUGUCACCUGGGAAUGUUGUAGAUAAAGUUCUUAAGGUUAAUCUUGUGCAAUAGCAAAAUCUUAAGAUGCUGACUUUGUUGACUGUUGACUGCUGACUUUGACCAACAACUUAUAGUUAACAAUGAACUUCCAGAGCUCCUGAAAUAUUAUUUGCGCCGCGUAUCUUCUUUUAUUCUUCAUCACCUCAUGGAACAGUAUGAGGAUAGCCUAAAAUCUGACUAUCUGAGGAUGAAAAUUCAGUUAUUGUAAUCCAUUGUCAAUCAACUUUUUUAAUAAAAUUGACUGGACUCGUGUCUGUGAUGCUGCAUCAGGGUUUGGAGUGUCAUGUGCACAUGUUCUUUUUGCUUUAAGAACUAAGAAUGUUACUGUCAAUGAUCUGGAUCUAAUUCAUAAAAGAUAACCUUAUGUAAUCUAAUACAUUUUUGCAAAACGUGCAAACUUGUUUUUAGCUGUGUGCUUUCCAAGAUUUCUGUAUGUAUUUAUUAUGGAUACAACUAUAUAUUUGUAACAAUAACAAACAUUUAAACGAAUGUAAGUGUAUACUUUUUUCAUACAAAAGUGUGAGAAAAACAAACGUCUGAUAAAUAAAUAUUUAAAGUAUAUUAUUUGAA